GUCUACAGCUAUGCCAGUCUGAACAAGCCCAAUCUCAUCUGAUCUUGGAAGCUAAGCAGGAUCGGGCCUGGUUAGUACUUGGAUGGGAAACCACCUAGGAAGACCAGGCGCUCUAGUCA
rnacentral:rRNA from 1 species